rnacentral:rRNA from 1 species
GAUGAACGCUGGCGGCGUGCUUAACACAUGCAAGUCGAACGAUGAAGCCCAGCUUGCUGGGUGGAUUAGUGGCGAACGGGUGAGUAACACGUGAGUAACCUGCCCUUGACUCUAGGAUAAGCCCGGGAAACUGGGGCUAAUACUGGAUAGGAACGUCUACCGCAUGGGGGGGGUUGGAAAGAAUUUCGGUCAUGGAUGGACUCGCGGCCUAUCAGCUUGUUGGUGAGGUAGUGGCUCACCAAGGCGACGACGGGUAGCCGGCCUGAGAGGGUGACCGGCCACACUGGGACUGAGACACGGCCCAGACUCCUACGGGAGGCAGCAGUGGGGAAUAUUGCACAAUGGGCGAAAGCCUGAUGCAGCGACGCCGCGUGAGGGAUGACGGCCUUCGGGUUGUAAACCUCUUUCAGUAGGGAAGAAGCGAAAGUGACGGUACCUGCAGAAGAAGCACCGGCUAACUACGUG